rnacentral:rRNA from 1 species
GUAGGUGGCAAGCGUUGUCCGGAAUUAUUGGGCGUAAAGCGCGCGCAGGCGGUUCUUUAAGUCUGAUGUGAAAGCCCACGGCUCAACCGUGGAGGGUCAUUGGAAACUGGAGAACUUGAGUACAGAAGAGGAAAGCGGAAUUCCACGUGUAGCGGUGAAAUGCGUAGAGAUGUGGAGGAACACCAGUGGCGAAGGCGGCUUUCUGGUGUGUAACUGACGCUGAGGCGCGAAAGCGUGGGGAGCAAACAGGGAUUAGAUACCCUGGUAGUCCACGCCGUAAACGAUGAGUGCUAAGUGUUAGGGGGUUCCGCCCCCUUAGUGCUGCAGCUAACGCAUUAAGCACUCCGCCUGGGGAGUACGGCCGCAAGGCUG